UACGAAGGGGGCGAGCGUUGUUCGGAAUUACUGGGCUUAAAGCGUGCGUAGGCGGAUGUACAAGUCAGAAGUGAAAUCCCUGGGCUUAACCCAGGAAUUGCUUUUGAAACUGUAUGUCUAGAAUCCGGUAGAGGUUAAUGGAAUGUCCAGUGUAGAGGUGAAAUUCGCAGAUAUUGGACGGAACACCAGUGGCGAAGGCGAUUAACUGGGCCGGUAUUGACGCUGAGGUACGAAAGCGUGGGGAGCAAACAGG
rnacentral:rRNA from 1 species